AAGUGUGAUUGUUGGCCGUCAGGCCGGCAAUGACUUUUAUCUGUGCAACACUUUUGUUUGGUCGUGUGUGGGUUGAUGUCGGUGUGUUGCGAGUCUGUGCAAGCAGGUCGAGCUGCAUACUCAUUGACCGACCCGACCAAUAUUUACACCAAAUACAGUCUGACUACAAAAAAACAAGUAAAAACUUUCAACAAUGGAUCUCUUGGCUCU
rnacentral:misc_RNA from 1 species